UCUCUAACUGCGCAUCUGAGGAAGAAAACGUGUAAUUUGUUCUGUUGGUGGUGCUGGAUGAAGUUGUGGAGUGGACGGUCAUGGACAGAUACCUGAAACGAACAUCAAAUUCAGAGGAGAAUGUGGAGGAGCCAGCUCAAAAAAAGAAGCGUGAAGCUUCCAUUGCGUGGGAUCAUUUCAACAAAACGGCUGAGAAAACACACGGUGUGUGUAAGUAUUGUGGGAAAGCGAUACGCACAUUGGGAAACACAACAAACUUGCUCAACCACCUGAAUCACGUCCACCCAGAACGCAUAAAAAAUAUCAAGGGCAAAAAUCCUACAACCGCGUU